GACGAACGCUGGCGGCGUGCUUAACACAUGCAAGUCGAACGACGAAGCUGGAGCUUGCUCUGGCGGAUUAGUGGCGAACGGGUGAGUAACACGUGAGAAAUCUGCCCUUGACUCUGGGAUAACUGCGGGAAACUGUAGCUAAUACCGGAUACUUUCCCUGGUGGGCAUCCACUGGGGAAGAAAGAAUUUCGGUCAAGGAUGAUCUCGCGGCCUAUCAGCUUGUUGGUGAGGUAAUGGCUCACCAAGGCGACGACGGGUAGCCGGCCUGAGGGGGUGACCGGCCACACUGGGACUGAGACACGGCCCAGACUCCUACGGGAGGCAGCAGUGGGGAAUAUUGCACAAUGGGCGCAAGCCUGAUGCAGCAACGCCGCGUGAGGGAUGAAGGCCUUCGGGUUGUAAACCUCUUUUAGCAGGGAAGAAGCGAAAGUGACGGUACCUGAGGAAAAAGCACCGGCUAACUACGUGCCAGCAGCCGCCGUAA
rnacentral:rRNA from 1 species